CCUGGGCCGAGCUGGGGAACAGCCUGGCGCGGGAGCGCACAGGGCCCGGCCUGUCUGCGUGCAGCCCGGACACAGUGCGAAAGGAGGCUGACGACGGGAAAGCCACGGCAGGCAGGAAACAGUUUCCGCGAGCCCUGUCCAAAGCAUCCGCCACCGGUCUUUGCAAGAAAUAGUAAGAGACGCAGGCCAGCAAGGAGCCCUCAGAGAGAACAAUCUCCUACUCUAUACUUGAACUGUGGUUGACCUGGGUACCUGAAGCCGUGGACAGCAACACCGCGGAUAAGGGAGAGCUACUAUAGAUGACGCUCAGCCGCCUGCUUGGUCACCAGAAUGGACAGCGCUGCUCAAGGCAUUCAACACGAGGGACUCGACCUUCCUCCUGCGCCGGUGUGUCUGGGCCUGCCCCUCUGUUUGGAGGGUCGCCCUCCAUGGCCAGCACAGUCUGGCUGUGCCAUAGGUCUGGAGACACUCAACCUCUCUUCUAAGCCGGGCCCCUUGCUCCGAACGCUGGACUGUCCUCGUCUUAGAGAAUGCGCAUUGUGGGAGAAGAUCUUUUCCAGUAGACCCCAGGAAAGGGUAUAUGGGAGGGAAGUAUCUUGAGAGCUUACAGAGGGUAGAGACAAAAGUAGGUUUUCAGUUGUGAGUAUGUAAAACACAAAUUUAUUCUUGAAGUAUUUAUUUAUUAAGUAUUGUAGGACUUUCCAUAUGAACAACUGUAAACCUACUUUUGCCCACCCUGUAUGUUUUUUUAAAAAUCUCUAUUUUGCCCUCAUAUUUGAAUGGUUGUUUGGUUGAAUAUAGAACACCAGGAAGCACAUCAUUUUUGCCAGU